GCCUACUUAACUCAGUGGUUAGAGUAUUGCUCUCAUAAGGCAAGAGUCAUUGGUUCAAAUCCAAGUGCGACCU
rnacentral:tRNA from 2 species